rnacentral:lncRNA from 1 species
CUCUUUUCUUAAGUGUUUCGCCCCACCCCCUCAUCUAUGGUGUUUCGUGUGUUUGUUUUUGUUUUUUGAAGUUGUGUCUGGUCCUGGUCUGGUAGUCUGGUUGUGUCGAAUGUGAAUGUGAUUCAACUCGGAUUGACAAAAUGGCGUGGGUGUGAUUAGAUGUUUUGUCAGAAAAAUCUUAAAUCAUCGCGUUAAAAUUGUUAUAAAUUAAGUAAUUAUACUGUAGAUAUAGUUAGUUAGUGUUUGAACAUUAAUUUAGUAGUUAAGUGAAAAGUUAAAACGGGAUAAUACGUUUAGUAGUGAAUUAGAAAUACUAACUGUAAAGUCCACUUUACAUCAACAAUAAAUUGGACAAGAAAUUGACCAAGUUAUUCAAGGCCAAAUUUGACGUGUAAAAGCACACUUUGACGUCUAAGUUUGUUCGUUAUAAACUUCACGUGAAGAAAUUGACGAAAAAGAAAAUUGUUCUAUUUUUUCAUUUUAUUUGGCGUGAAUUCAGUGUCCCAAACCUGUGGCCUGUGUCCAUUUGGCGGGAAGUGGAAGUACAGCUUUUUGUUUAUUAUUAUUUGUUGAGGUUGAGUCUUUCAUGUUCAUGACAACCUAAAAAUUUUGAUUGGAAAAUGCAUAUAAGAUAAGGGGGUGGAAAAAUGGAAAUUAGUGGCUUUUUUUUUGCAGUUCUGUCUGUUAGUUUUGCGUUUUGCUCUGGCUGGGUCUCUUUUGUUUAAACAAUUAUAAUCAGCUGAAAGUGGUCUACAAAAAAACCAGGAAGGAAACGUAUUAUAGCCUUGUUGUGGCUAUGAAAGAUACCUAUAAAAAGUGUAUUGACUAGUUGGAAGAAACUCCACAUUGUCGAUGCAUAAUAAGAUAUUACUUUAUAAACAAAUAUCAAGACCUAGGAAUGGAACCUGGAUAAUAUAGUCAUCAAGAAGAUAACAGUAAGUCAUGAGCAACAACAACUUCAUAAGUAUGAGAAUAUUGAGGAAAUCCAGCUCCUCAUAUCUACUACUGGACAAACUAGAAGAUUGAAGAGGACAAAGCCUUUUGAACUAGUUUGAGUGAUAGGUGAUAGUGAAAAGCAGAGCGUAGUGCUUGUGUGCCUGUGUAUGUUAGAAUAGUGCACGAUCUUGUUAGAUUAGAUAAGAGACGCUAUGGGGUAAGCUCUUCAUUUUAAGGAACAGUAGUAAUUUAGGUUAAAUUAAAAUUGCUCAUUGGUCAGUUAUGACCAGAUUGUAAUUCUCUGAUGUUUGGCAAAAAGGGCUUAAGUCAGAAUUGCACAUCAAUAAUGUUUUGAUGAUUUCUGGACCAUAAAAAAAGUGUUGCAGACUUAAACUGUAUGUACCAAUAAAAAGAGCCGAUUUUUCUGGUCCAGAAAUCAUCAAAACAUUAUCGAUGUGCAAUUCUGACUUAAGCCCUUUUUCCCAAACAUCAGAGAAUUGCAAUGUACAAUUCAAUACAAAUGAAUCAUCAUCGUAGUGAUGAUUAUGGAAAAAAAUAUAUGACAAGAUUUUGUGCAAUAAAAAUGUUUAUAUUUAUCAAGGAUGUAUUAUUUGGUAUGGCCACAUAUACUUCUGGUAUAUCGUCGGUGAUGUGACAAUACCUCCUAUCUGCUUUUUCAUGAAUUUUGUAGGAGACGAAAAACCAUUUUUAGGGUCAUCUCUGUUUUCACAUGUAAAUUUUGACAUGUUUUGUAGUAAAUAGAUAAUUGAAUUUACUACAAAACAUGUCAAAAAAUAUCAUAUGAAAACAGGAGGUGACUGUAAAAAAAGUUUUUAGUCUCUCUUACAAAACGGUUAACAGAGGUGACAGUUAAUAGAGAGACAGAUAAUCAAGGUUCCACUGUAUAGUGAAAUUUGGACACCCGACACCCCAUACAAAUUUUAUGGGGGUUUUGUUCGUUUAAACCCCCCCAAACUUUUGUGUAAGUUACAAUUGAAUUAUUAUUGUGGUACUAUUAAACACAAUGUUUUUAAAACUUUUUGGCCUCUUAGUACUUUUUUGAAGUCAGUUUUUAUCGUGAUAUUUUGAAUAUUUGUCAAAUCCACCACAUAUUUGUAUAUGGUUAAGUACGAUUGUAGAGACUAAUAAUAUGAAAAUUUAUUUAUGAUUUACAUUUUUAGGUAUAUUUUGAACCAUUUUAAAAAGAAGCCAUAUCUUGAUAAAAAGAGCUUUAUCGAAAAAAUAGAAAGAGGUAAAAAAGUUUUAAAAACACAGUGUUUAACUAAUGGUACCGCAAAAAUAAUUUAAUUGGAACGUACCCAAAAGUUUGCGGGGUUAAAGGGAACAAAACCCCCAUAAAAUUUUUAUGGGGUGCACAAAUUUCACUAUAAUUUUUAUUUAAGAUGUUACUGCAAUAAUAUUGCUUCAUGUCCAUUUUCAAUAAAAAAUCUUUAAUAGUUUUCGAUAUAUUCGAAAAAAUCAAUUUUUAUUUUGUAUCUUCAAAGGGCUGUAACUUUUUUUGUGUGCAUAUUUGUACUAAGGUAAGUUAGGUUCAUUCAAAUUAUUUUUGGUCCCAGAAUAUGUGAUUUAAUUUACGACCAAUCUUUUCGGGACACCCUGUAUAAUAAAUGGGAUUAGCUGGCUUAAAAAUUCAUAAUCUACGUUCUGUAGAAAAUAUCCAGUUUUUGGUUUCUUUUUAACUAGAUCUUAAUAUAUAACCAAGCAUUUUAAGACCUUUUUAUUAAUUUUUCGAUGAUAUAUUCGUGUUUUUAGUUUGUUCAAAAUAUUCUAGAUGAUUGUACACUAUAAUAGAUAGCCAACUAAAUAAACACAAAAAUCUUAUUUUUGUUACAGCCUGUAUAUAAGUUUACCUAUAUAUACAGUGCAUUACGCACCACCUUAAAAAUUGGGCAUUUUUGAUGUCUCGAAUUUCCUAAACCUGUUGUCCCAUCUAAGUGAUUUUUUUAUAAUAAUAUAGCCUGAGGCUAUAGGUUACUGCCUUAUGCUUGUCAUGCACGGGGAGCUAUACUGUAAUAUAUAUUAUAUCACAUCGCUCUCUAUAGUAAUGAGUAAUGAGUGAGACUGCACAUACGGAACCAUUAGUUCCCUGUCUGCAGGCUCACUCAUUACUAUAGAGAGCGAUAUGAUAUAAUAUACAUAUAUUACAGUAUAGCUCCCAGUGCAUGACAAGCUUAAGGAUGUAACCUAUAGCCUAGGCUAUAUUAUAAAAAAAUCACUCAGAUGGGACAACAGGUUUAGAAAAUUCGAGACAUCAAAAAUGCCCUAUUUUUAAGGUGGUGCGUUAAUUUCUUGGAGAAGUGUAUUGUAAUUUAAUGUAAAUAAUGUAAUAUCCAAUAAUUGUAAUUUAAUAUAAGAUGUAAUAUAAGUUCCUUAAAAA